rnacentral:lncRNA from 1 species
UCACUAGAACCCCCUCUGCCUCUAGGCGCUCCGCAGACAUCAGGAGUGGAAACAAUUCAGAGACAUUUGGAAAAAAAAAAAACCCAAAACCCAAGCUGGCUUGUCGUUUCUGUCACUGUCAUACUUCAGAAAGAUCUACUGGGGGCAAUCAGAGAAGAAUAGGUCUGUAAAACUCAGCGUUUCCCUAUUAGCUUUCAAAAGUUUUGCACAACAUACUUUAUGUGUGUUUAUAGAAAAGAAAAAAAAAAAAAAAAACGAAGACCCACAUUGAUUGAAAAAAUGUGUUGUUAUUGAAAGGGCCGAGUUGAACUCUCUGCAGAGCGUGGUGCUCGACAAGACUUGGAAGGCGAAGAUUUCACAUAAAUAGUUGUGCCGAGUUGUUAUGGCAACUGAAAUUUGAAAAGUAAAUAGGUUUAGGGGAAAUAUUUUCCCUUGUCUCUGGAGGAGUUUUCUGUUGCGGAUCAUUUGCAAAAGGAGGAGUUACUUCGAUGCCCAGUGGAUUUGGUGUAUGUUGUUGAAGGACAGACGUGUGGGGUUCCUGUGCUGGGGGCGGUCUCCGUGCCCAUGGGGCAGCUGCUUUCCUUUCAUCAAGUAGGGGUUGAGAUGGGUGGCAGGGUCACGCACGCUGUGUGGCUGUGCACCAAUGACUUGCCCUCUCUGGGCGUCCACUUUUCUCUCUAUAGAAUAGUUUGGUGGAAACGCACAGUCAUACAGAGAAGAGCUGUACAUGCCCCAUGGCAUAUAAGCCUCAUGGCAGCAGAGACCAGGUUGGCGCUGGGUACAUUGACUCCAUUCGUGGUUGCUGACCGAGGCGCAGAGCAGUAAAAGGAUGAUGGAAUUUGGGCUGCUCAGCAUUGGCAGAAACUGGAAAAGUCUACUUAUCUUGAAGUGGAUAGUCUGGCAGAAAAAUACUGUCAACAGCCGUGUUCGUAGUCCAGUAUUAAUAACGACAAUAAAUGCAGUGCUAUUUAUCGAAGCA